GAUGAACGCUGGCGGCGUGCCUAAUACAUGCAAGUCGAGCGAAUGGAUUGAGAGCUUGCUCUUAUGAAGUUAGCGGCGGACGGGUGAGUAACACGUGGGUAACCUGCCCAUAAGACUGGGAUAACUCCGGGAAACCGGGGCUAAUACCGGAUAACAUUUCGAACCGCAUGGUUCGAAAUUGAAAGGCGGCUUCGGCUGUCACUUAUGGAUGGACCCGCGUCGCAUUAGCUAGUUGGUGAGGUAACGGCUCACCAAGGCAACGAUGCGUAGCCGACCUGCGAGGGUGAUCGGCCACACUGGGACUGAGACACGGCCCAGACUCCUACGGGAGGCAGCAGUAGGGAAUCUUCCGCAAUGGACGAAAGUCGGACGGAGCAACGCCGCGUGAGUGAUGAAGGCUUUCGGGUCGUAAAACUCUGUUGUUAGGGAAGAACAAGUGCUAGUUGAAUAAGCUGGCACCUUGACGGUACCUAACCAGAAAGCCACGGCUAACUACGUGCCAGCCGCCGCGGUAA
rnacentral:rRNA from 1 species